CCUACGGGAGGCAGCAGUGGGGAAUAUUGGGCAAUGGGCGCAAGCCUGACCCAGCCACGCCGCGUGAAGGACGAAGGUUCCCGGCUUUUAAACUUCUUUUAUCAGAGACGAAGCAAGUGACGCUACCUGAUGAAUAAGCCACGUCUAACUACGUGCCAGAGGCCGCUGCAAUACGUAGGCGGCAAGCGUUCUCCGGAUUUACUGGUUGUAAAGGUCGUUUUGGCGGGAAAGCAAGUCAGAUGUGAAAACCAUGGGGUCAACCUGUGGCCUGCCGUUGAAACUGUUUUUCUGGAGUACUGGAGAGGCAGACGGAAUGCCUAGUGUAGCGGUGAAAUGCGUAGAUAUUAGGAGGAACACCAGUGGCGAAGGCGGACUGCUGGACAGCAACUGACGCUGAGGCGCGAAAGCGUGGGGAGCAAACAGGAUUAGAUACCCGUGUAGUC
rnacentral:rRNA from 1 species